GCGACGCGUUACCUGUGCGCUUGCAGAAUCAAGCGUAUUCAAUACGGCUCGUCGCGUUUCUUUUCUUUUUUAUUUGAAACAUCGCGUUAAUUGAAAUCCAAAUUUACUGCCGUCGUUUAAUAGAUUUGUUAUUUGGUGGUUUUCAAUUAUUUUAGUGUUGGUUGAAUAUUCAUGAAGUGCGCGUGUUCACUGGCAAGCGUGUGAGUUGCCGUCGGAUGCCGAUUCAACUGGAAUUUUGCUUGGUUCAAGCAAGAAAAGUCUUUGCCGUGCUUUGGAGUCCCAUGAGUUCUGCAUUGUACUAUCUUUGAUUACCUGAUGCACUGGUAAGUUUGUAAACGGUAUUACAUCAUAAUGUCAUAUUUAUCUUAAAUCGCAUGUAACGUGAGUACCGUAAUAAAACAAAAUUGAUGCGUGCCGUCGGAUGCGACUUCGAUCUACCCGCAGAGUAUGGUCAUGUCAAUCAUCGGUUUAAUAACGUGAAAUUUUCCUUGCUUGCAUUUUCAUUUCAUUUCAUAAAUCUACAGGCUCUUUAACGUAUUUUCGUAGUUUGGCAAUUAAUUAUUGAGACUAAUAUAUUUGUAAAAAGACGAUUUAAAUUUCCUUCCGCGUGUGUGCUUGAGUUGCCGUCGGCGGAUACAUUUUGCCUUGCUUGUGGCGUAUCUGGAGAAUCCGUCGCAAAGAAAAUUUCAAAAUUUCUAGCUCUUUACUCUUAAAUUAAAAUGUAAUUGUAUUUUCGUUGUUUCACCCUCUCUAAGCGUGAAUAUAAUUCCAUGCAUGGAAAAUUUUGAAUUUUCUUAUUAAAUAUAGCGAUUUCCUUCUUGUAUCACCCUAUGUAUUAAUUUUCCUUGCUCUCUAAUGUAAAACAGACUAAAUUUGUCGUUUCCGGGUCGUUUUCUAUUUAAUUUUUGUAUUGUAUUUUUAAAUUUAGAAAUUUCUUAUUGGUAACACCCUGUAUGUUUGUUUUUCUUGAUUUUUAUUAUAAGUUUUCUAAAUUUGUUAUUCCCAGGUGUUUUCUUCUUUGAACUAUUGAUUUUCUUUUUGCAACACCCUGUAUAUUUGUUUUCCCAGAUUUCCUAUAAAAAACUGUCUAUAUUUAGUGUUUCCUAUUAUUUUCCUUCUUGAACUUGGCAUUUUCUUUUGUGUUGUAGUAAUCUCCUUUUUGUAACACCCUGUAUAUUAGUUUUCCUAACAGCACGAAGAAAAUCACCUUUAGUUGUAAGUUUUGAGUGUUCUCUGUUUUGAACUUGGAAUUUUCUUUCUAGAACACCCUGUAUAUAUGUUUUUCUUUGUGUCCGUGAAAAUUUUGGUUUAACUGUCGUUUUUAGUAUUUUCCCCUUUGCAUUUUGAAUUUUCUUUCUGGAACACCCUGUAUAUUAGUUUCCCUGAGCUUCGAGUGAGCGGCGUUUGUAGUGUUGAGAGUAUUUGUUUCUAUUAUCAGUCACCUAGAAAAUUGGCUAUUUACUAAUUCUAUUAUUCCGGUUGAACUUUAUGAAGUAGUACUUGCCGAUAUGUGCGCGGCUGAGCAAGUCGUAAGUCCUAUUUCAAUAUGGCGACAUGUAUUUUGUUGACUUGUAAAAUCUAAACUUGUAUUCUAUUAUUAAUAAAGAAAUAGUAAAAUA